rnacentral:rRNA from 1 species
CUGGCGGUCUGCUUAACACAUGCAAGUCGAACGGGCGCAGAAAUGCGUUAGUGGCGGACGGGCGGACGGGUGAGUAACGCGUGAGAAUCUACCUUCAGGACGGGGACAACAGCUGGAAACGGCUGCUAAUACCCGAUAUGCCGAAAGGUGAAAAGUUAUUUCGCCUGGAGAGGAGCUCGCGUCCGAUUAGCUAGUUGGUGGGGUAAAAGCUUACCAAGGCAACGAUCGGUAGCUGGUCUGAGAGGAUGAGCAGCCACACUGGAACUGAGACACGGUCCAGACUCCUACGGGAGGCAGCAGUGGGGAAUUUUCCGCAAUGGGCGAAAGCCUGACGGAGCAACGCCGCGUGGGGGAAGAAGGUUUUUGGAUUGUAAACCCCUUUUCUCAAGGAAGAACAAAAUGACGGUACUUGAGGAAUCAGCCUCGGCUAACUCCGUGCCAGCAGCCGCGGUAAUACGGAGGAGGCAAGCGUUAUCCGGAAUUAUUGGGCGUAAAGCGUUCGUAGGCGGCUGUUCAAGUCUGCUGUCAAAGACCGAGGCUCAACCUCGGGUCGGCAGUGGAAACUGGAUAGCUAGAGGUCGGUAGGGGCAGAGGGAAUUCCCAGUGUAGCGGUGAAAUGCGUAGAUAUUGGGAAGAACACCGGUGGCGAAAGCGCUCUGCUGGGCCGAACCUGACGCUGAGGGACGAAAGCUAGGGGAGCGAAUGGGAUUAGAUACCCCAGUAGUCCUAGCCGUAAACGAUGGAAACUAGGUGUGGCCUGUAUCGACCCGGGCCGUGCCGAAGCUAACGCGUUAAGUUUCCCGCCUGGGGAGUACGCACGCAAGUGUGAAACUCAAAGGAAUUGACGGGGGCCCGCACAAGCGGUGGAGUAUGUGGUUUAAUUCGAUGCAACGCGAAGAACCUACCAGGGCUUGACAUGCCGCGAAUCUUGCUGAAAGGGAAGAGUGCCUACGGGAGCGCGGACACAGGUGGUGCAUGGCUGUCGUCAGCUCGUGUCGUGAGAUGUUGGGUUAAGUCCCGCAACGAGCGCAACCCUCGUCCUUAGUUGCCAUCAUUAAGUUGGGCACUCUAGGGGGACUGCCGGUGAUAAACCGGAGGAAGGUGGGGAUGACGUCAAGUCAUCAUGCCCCAUAUGUCCUGGGCUACACACGUACUACAAUGGUCGGGACAACGAGCAGCCAACUCGCAAGAGUGCGCUAAUCUCUU